rnacentral:lncRNA from 1 species
UCCUUUACUAAUUUGCCCUAGUCGCUCCACUUGCUCAUCCCAUGAAUCCUAUCAUUCAAUCAUCUCCUCUCUUUCUAACAAAAUCCAAGCUAUAGUGCUACACCCACCCUAUCUACUAGAUUUUCUAUCCACCAACAUGGUAUUAAUUCAAUUCUUUAUUUUUAUUUUAUUUUGGCUUUUUCAUUACAAUUAUAAUCCUGGCUUCAUUUCCUAUGGAACUUCUAGAUACAAUAUAGAAUUUUGCUUCAAUUCCCAUAGAUCUAAGC